AUUGAACGCUGGCGGCAGGCCUAACACAUGCAAGUCGAACGGUAACAGGAAGAAGCUUGCUUCUUUGCUGACGAGUGGCGGACGGGUGAGUAAUGUCUGGGAAACUGCCUGAUGGAGGGGGAUAACUACUGGAAACGGUAGCUAAUACCGCAUAACGUCUCAAGACCAAAGAGGGGGAGCUUCGGGCCUCUUGCCAUCGGAUGUGCCCAGAUGGGAUUCGCUAGUAGGUGGGGUAACGUCUCACCUAGGCGACGAUCCCUAGCUGGUGUGAGAGGAUGACCAGCCACACUGGAACUGAGACACGGUCCAGACUCCUACGGGAGGCAGCAGUGGGGAAUAUUGCACAAUGGGCGCAAGCCUGAUGCAGCCAUGCCGCGUGUAUGAAGAAGGCCUUCGGGUUGUAAAGUACUUUCAGCGGGGAGGAAGGGAGUAAAGUUAAUACCUUUCCUCAUUGACGUUACCCGCAGAAGAAGCACCGGCUAACUCCGUG
rnacentral:rRNA from 1 species